rnacentral:rRNA from 1 species
UACGUAGGGUGCGAGCGUUGUCCGGAAUUAUUGGGCGUAAAGGGCUCGUAGGCGGUUUGUCACGUCGGGAGUGAAAACUCAGGGCUUAACCCUGAGCCUGCUUCCGAUACGGGCAGACUAGAGGUAUGCAGGGGGAGAACGGAAUUCCUGGUGUAGCGGUGAAAUGCGCAGAUAUCAGGAGGAACACCGGUGGCGAAGGCGGUUCUCUGGGCAUUACCUGACGCUGAGGAGCGAAAGUGUGGGGAGCGAACAGG